rnacentral:tRNA from 1 species
GAGGUUGUAGCUCAGUGGUAGAGCACUUGCCAUACUAGUGUGAAGCACUGGGUUUGAUUCUCAGCACCUCA